GACGAACGCUGGCGGCGUGCCUAAUACAUGCAAGUCGAACGCAGUGGGGACGGGUGAGUAACACGUGGGUACACUCCCAUCAGAGGGGAUAACACUUGGAAACAGGUGCUAAACCGAUACUGAUGGAUGGACCCGAGGUGCAUUCGCUAGUGGGUGAGGUAACGUCUCUCCAAGGCCACGAUGCAGAGCCGACUUGAUAGGGGGAUCGGCCACACGUGGACGGAGACACGGCCCAGACUCCUACGGGAGGCAGCAGUAGGGAAUCUUCGGCAAUGGACGAAAGUCGGACCGAGCAACGCCGCGUGAGUGAAGAAGGUUUUCGGAUCGUAAAACUCUGUUGUUAGAGAAGCGGUAUCUAACCAGAAAGCCACGGCUAACUCCGUGCCAGCAGCCGCGGUAAUAC
rnacentral:rRNA from 1 species